GCAUUCUAAUAGAUUCCAGAGGCCUUCAGAAUCCUUUUCUCCAUCAAUACCACAUAGAAAGGAACAGGAACGUUUUGGUAUUCCCCUUUUGACAGACGAAGGAGGUUGGAGGCCAAGGAAAGAACAGAUGAUAACGGGUGCAUCUUUGACAUGCUGCAUGGCUGUAAGAAAGAAUGUGAGACCUGGCUUUGAGUCCCUGCUCUGUCAUUUAUUGUGUGUUCUUGAGUGCUGAGAUGCCAGAGCCUGAACCUCCGUUUUUCAGUCUGACAGGCGAGAAUAGUAAUCCCAGCCCUGCCUUCUUCACAGAUGCCCUGAGAAUCAAAUGAGAUAAUGCAGAUGAAAGUGUUUUUCAAAGCACAAUGCACCCUACGAAGAUAAAAGGAUGAAUAUUACAGUCAGUAGCUGGAGGAAAGAUAUGGGAGCAACAAAUCCCAGGCCCUGUGGGGACUUGCGUACCACAGGGGAGGCAGGACCACCCCGAACGCACUCCCUUCAGAUCGACGCUCAAAAGAAAACAUGCGACAAGAUGUACGCUCAGUCUCCUUUUAAAUGUUUAUUGGUACAGAGACGGUUCGAAUUGUU